AUUUUUCAUCAAACCCGUGUGGGGUAUCUAUGGAUAGGUCUUCAAAAAUGAUAUUGAGGUUUCUAAUAUCAUUUUUUUCUAAACUAAAUAGUUUGCGCGAGACACUUCCAAAGUGGUAAAAUGUGUAACCCCCCCCCCCCCCCUCCCUGUAACUUCUAAAAUAAGAGAAUAAGACUAAAAAACAUAUAUGAUGUACAUUACCAUGCAAACUUCCACCGAAAAUUGGUUUGAACGAGAUCUAGUAAGUAGUUUUUUUUAAUACUUGGAACUGAAACUCAAAAAAAAUUUUUUCAUCAAACCCAUACGUGUGGGGUAUCUAUGGAUAGGUCUUCAAAAGUGAUAUUAAGGUUUCUAAUAUCAUUUUUUUCUAAACUGAAUAGUUUGCGCGAGAGACACUUCCAAAGU